GAUAGCUCAGUUGGUUAAAGUGUGGUGCUGAUAAUGCCAAGGUUGCAGGUUCAAUCCCUGGAUGGGGAAGAUACA